GUGGUCUGGGAAAGGCUCCUGUGUGACGAACCCCGCCUGGGGGGGUGCAGCUUCGGACCAGGCAGCCCCACCCUGACCUAAAGUAAAUUCCCAGGGGGAGUUUUCCCUGGGUUUUGCAGUAACAGGUAUGAACACUCUAGCAGCAGUUUGAUGAUCAUGUAUGAUACUGCAAACAGGA
ensembl:scaRNA small Cajal body-specific RNA 16